rnacentral:piRNA from 1 species
UGGUGGAGCAAGAAUCAUACAAUGCUUAGA